GUGGCCGGACAGCCCACGUAACCCGGCCGGGCUCAGCCCGAAAGGGCAACGUGGGGGGCCCAUGUAGGCCCACCACCUGCAAGGUCCGACAUGGGGGUUGGGUGCAAUGUGUACCAGGCAGCGGUAGAGGGCGGGGUGGCGGCCCCUCGCGACAGAAACUGGCUCUUGGCAUGUGGAAUCUGGUUAUUCCCACCUGGUAAAUAUCAAUUCUUUAAAGCAUCGAUCUGACACGGCCACAAAUUUAGCUGCUCCACUAGUAUCUCUUCAGCUGCAGCUGGGAUCCAGCUUGUAUGCAGUUCCAGAGCUGGAAGAAGCUUGUAAGAUGAACAAGUUCUCCACGUUGUGUUAGUGAAGGAAGAUGAUAAUGAUGAUGAUGAUGUUCAGCGCACUGCUCUGGCCACGAGGGCUGAACGCAGAGUUUGGUGCCCUCUGAAGAGCACCUAGUGGCCCAGUUAAUCAGGAUUCGGUCCUGUUAGAACACACCCUGCUUUGUGUCAGCAGAAGACAUUAUUAGUUUAUAUCAGUCUGUUGAGUGAAAUGAAUGAAAUAACUGAUUCAUCUCCAUCACCUACCUGGACGUGGGGAUGUUCUCACCUUUCCUGUAGUUGUUCCCACAUUGCUUUGAGCUCAGGAAAAACAUGCGUGGUACAUUUCUCUGGACCUGAAGUUAAAUGCUGCGCUUAUUCUGGCCAGGUGAACACAUUAUUCUGACAUGACAUCAUGACAUGUGAAGUGUAGGGUGAAAGAAUGACAAUACGAUGCAUUUAUUGUACAUAUUCUACCUCUCUUGGCUCCGUGUAAGGACAGUUAAAUAUGCUUCCGGCUCUGACUUGAAUCCCCUUCACUGCCCUCUUGCACUCAAGUCCAGCUGCAGGAAGAAUGUUGUUAACCAUGAUUUAAGAUUAUUAAUGCAAUUAACUGCAUUGACAGCAGGGUCAAGUUCACCAGAUCUUACUUGGAACUUAAGGCCAAUUCACAGCACUUUCCCGCACUUUUCAAUGGAGAAAGCACAACGAGGUGAUCUCAGUCAGUUGACGUUUCUUCGAAAGAACGCUUUUAUGAGGCCCUUGUCACAAAGAAGCAUACAGGGAUUCUUGUUAUUCCAUGUGAGUGAGGAUGAAGAACUAGGCCAAGAAAAAAUGACUGAAGAGAAAAAGUUUGGAAAGGUAGAGUCUUAUCUGUGA
rnacentral:lncRNA from 1 species